CCCAGGGUGGCGCAGGGCUUUGAGUGUCGGACUGCGACUCUGGAGACCAGGGGUCGAUUCCCAGCUCGGCCA